UUAGCUACUUUAGAUAGGUUUGUAUUCAUCAUGAUGGAUACAAACGUUAAACAACUUGUUUGUAUCUAUGAUGGCUAAAGAACUUUGUAUUACGCAAAAAGCCACGUAGACAUUACGCUAAGUGGCUAAGCAAAGAAAAUACAAAGUAUUUCUGGUACCAUACUUUUCUAUUUAUUUUCUCGCUUUUUCGA
rnacentral:ncRNA from 1 species